rnacentral:rRNA from 1 species
AUGGCGAUCGACCACGACUCCCCCUGCAAGGAGCUCCUCCCCAAGGACCGCCGCAGCAUGGAUGAUGACGGCCCUGAGCCGGAGGAGGAGGUUGAGGAGGACGAGAAGUCUGCGGAGGUGGAGGAGGAGGAGGUCGAGGAGUCUGCGGAGGCGGAGGAGCAGGAGCAGGUGGUGUCCGCGGACGGCGAGCGGUGGCCCCGGUGGCUGCGCCCCAUGAUGUCGGCGCGGUUCUACACGCCGUGCAAGACGCACCCUGACUCGCGCCGCGGCGGCGUGCGCGCCAUGUUCUGCCUCGACUGCGCCGACGUCGCCGGCGCGCUCUGCUCGCUGUGCGCCGACCAGGGCCACCGCGGCCACCACGUCAUCCGGGUCCGCCGCUCCACCUACAGCAGCGUGCUCAUCGUGGCGGACGUGCGGGGGCUCCUGGACGUGGACGGCGUGCAGACCUACGUCAUCAACGGCGCGCGCGUCGUCUUCCUCAGGGAGCGCGGCCCGCAGCAGAGGCACGCCCGCAGCGCCUGGAGCUUCGUCAACCAGUGCGGCUGCGGCCGCGGCCUGCUCGAGGCCUUCCGCUUCUGCUCGCUCAGCUGCAAGUUCCCCGGCUGCCGCCACGACGGCAACGCCUCCUCCUCGCCUCCCUCCCCGCCGCGCAAUGCCGCCGACCAGGCCUCGACGCCACCACCGCCGCCGCAGCCUGCACACCGGCGCAAGGGCAUCCCGCACCGGGCACCGUUCGGCAACCUCGCCGUCUGA